rnacentral:rRNA from 1 species
UGAGGAAUAUUGGACAAUGGGGGAAACCCUGAUCCAGCCAUGCCGCGUGAGUGAAGAAGGCCUUCGGGUUGUAAAGCUCUUUCAAUGGUGAAGAUAAUGACGGUAACCAUAGAAGAAGCCCCGGCUAAAUUCGUGCCAGCAGCCGCGGUAAUACGAAUGGGGCAAGCGUUGUUCGGAAUCACUGGGCUUAAAGCGUGCGUAGGCGGAAACGAAAGUCAGACGUGAAAUCCCGGGGCUCAACCCCGGAACUGCGUUUGAAACUCCGUUUCUAGAAUCCGGUAGAGGUCAGGAGAAUUCCCAGUGUAGAGGUGAAAUUCGCAGAUAUUGGGAAGAAUACCAGUGGCGUAGGCGCCUGACUGGGCCGGUAUUGACGCUGAGGUACGAAAGCGUGGGGAGCAAACAGGAUUAGAUACCCCCGUAGUCC